GACGUAGGGCGCGAGCGUUGUCCGGAAUUAUUGGGCGUAAAGAGCUCGUAGGCGGCUUGUUGCGUCGGCUGUGAAAACCCGCGGCUCAACCGUGGGCUUGCAGCCGAUACGGGCAGGCUAGAGUUCCGGUAGGGGAGACUGGAAUUCCUGGUGUAGCGGUGAAUGCGCAGAUAUCAGGAGGAACACCGGUGGCGAAGGCGGGUCUCUGGGGCCGAUACUGACGCUGAGGAGCGAAAGCGUGGGGAGCGAACAGG
rnacentral:rRNA from 1 species